rnacentral:rRNA from 1 species
AACGAACGCUGGCGGCAUGCCUAACACAUGCAAGUCGAACGAGACCUUCGGGUCUAGUGGCGCACGGGUGCGUAACGCGUGGGAACCUGCCCUUAGGUUCGGAAUAACUCCCCGAAAGGGGUGCCAAUACCGGAUAAUGUCUUCGGACCAAAGAUUUAUCGCCUUUGGAUGGGCCCGCGUUGGAUUAGCUAGUUGGUAGGGUAAAAGCCUACCAAGGCGACGAUCCAUAGCUGGUCUGAGAGGAUGAUCAGCCACACUGGGACUGAGACACGGCCCAGACUCCUACGGGAGGCAGCAGUGGGGAAUAUUGGACAAUGGGCGAAAGCCUGAUCCAGCAAUGCCGCGUGAGUGAUGAAGGCCUUAGGGUUGUAAAGCUCUUUUACCCGGGAUGGUAAUGACAGUACCGGGAGAAUAAGCUCCGGCUAACUCCGUG